rfam:Oreochromis niloticus linkage group LG7, whole genome shotgun sequence.
CUAAAGGAUUUUUUAAAAUCUAUAUGCAGUUUAUUAAACAGACUA